rnacentral:lncRNA from 1 species
UUUAAUAUUAUUGAUUGUGAUAACCAUGAAUCAGGAGUCGGGAGACAUGCUUUAAAAAUUUUUGUAAUAAGGGGUGUUUUUGAACUGUGAUGAAGAAACUAUCAUUAUUGAGUCAGAUUCAGUUACUGCUAUUACAUGGCAAACUGAAUGUGCAGGAAAAGACCAUGUCACUUGAGAUGUAUGCGGUCUGUUUCCAGAAUCUUGUUGCAUGUUCUUUUAAUAAAUAACACUUAUCUCUGCCGAGCGGGAAAAAAAAAACAUAUUGGAUACCUAAAAAUAAAUAAUAAAAUAUUUAAUUGUCGGUGUAUUGAAACUCUUAAAAAAAAAUGACAACCAUGUAAUUACAAAACAAGAUUGAAUGUGGGUGAGAGUGAGAGUCUACCUCAAAUAUGGCCAAAGAAAGCAACCUAAAGAUUCAAACUGCACUUUUUUCUCUAUUUUUCUUCUACAAUCCACACUUCAAAUUAUUUUUACAAUUAGCAUUUUAAAUCAUUUAAUAAAUAUAAAUAUAUAUAUAAUAUUUUAAGUCGAUAUAACAGAAUAUCAAAUUAAUUAAAAAUUUUAUCUAGAUGACAUUUACAAUUAUAUUUAAUAAAUUUAACGAUUGGAUGUUAAAAUAUUUAUAAUACAAAAUAUUAUUAUAAAUGGAUUCGUUCCCUAUAAAUUAUUAUAUAAUAAAAAAUAAAAAUUUAAGACUUUAAUUUUGUAUAAUAAAAGGAUUAUAAAAACAUCUAAACCCUUAAUCAUGCCACUUAAUCUAUGACUGUAUAAAUAAAAAUAACACGUCAAAGAUUACAUUAACCAUCAAAUCUAACACUAUAAUCAACACUUCCAACAUUAAUGAUUCACAAUCAUAUUAGCUUACAAUGAGGGCUAUUUCUGCAUAUGUAGUUUUAAUACUUCUAUUAUCGUAAUUAAAAAGAUUCUGUAUUUAUAUGGCGCAGUAAUGAUAAGUUAUGUGAAUUUUUAUUUUCUAUAAUUUGUUAUUAUUUUUCAUGCUAGCUGAUACUUUUUCUUAUUUUAUUUCUGGUCAAAAAUUGAGGACAAUUCUUAAAAAAAUGCCAUCUUUUCUUUAAAAUUAUUGUAUUAGAUUGUUUUUUUUUUAAAUUACGGGAUUAGGCUGAAAUAAUAAAAUGCUUCUAGUUGGAAGCAUUUUUAACGGAUUUACAGGAAAGUCCUUAUAGUUGAAAGUGUUUUUAACAUAUUAGCAGAAAGACACUUUCAAGUAGAAACGUUUCCAUUUUUUCGACCUAAUCCCAUUAUUUUUAAAAAUAAAGUCUAAUCCAAUAUUUCUUUUAAACUGCAUUUUUAGAAAAUUUACUCCAAAUAUUGCUGGAUAUAUUGAACCCUUUUCAAGGGAAAAAUCUGAAAGGGUGCUUGAGGGCAUCUCAAAAUGGUCAGUGACCACCCAAAUGGCCUGUUAAGUAAUUCAACUUAAAAAACUGGGGCUUACGAAGCAUACUUUUUCUGCAUCCAAUUCAACCAAGAAGACCAAAAUCAUGCAAUUUCUCGGCUGUUUUACCUAAAAAAGCACUUUAAAAAAUAUAAUUACUGUAAUGGGCCAUUUAUUAAGUUAUUUAUCGGAUUAAGCCGUUUUCCACGAAAACGCGUCCAUAUCAGCGCGCUUUAGUGUCCACAUCAACAAAAUGUUUCUCUGGGGAACAUUUUGUCCAUGUUAGCAAAAAACGCGUCCUUGGGGGCGCGCUUUGCUGACGUGGGCAAAACGCUCCCCCAGGGAAGCGUUUUAGCCCGAGUAUAAAUUUUCAAAAAAUGUUAUUUUUUAAAUAUUAUAAAAAUAGACCAAUUUUUUUGAAAAUUUACAAGUAUAAAUCUUAAAAAAUGCUCAAAGUGAAAAUACCACUUUUUUUUAAAGUGUUACCAAUUAAUAUGGAAACAAAACUUAAAAAGCAAAUCUUUAUAUGGACUGAAAGUCUUAUUUCCCUUUCUUUUUUUUUAAGCAAUGUGGGAUAUGAGAUAUGUGUAUAUUUAGACUUAUGAAUAGGUUUGCAGCUUGUUCCUAAACAAUGUGAGAUUCCUUCCUCUUUUAACUAACAACAUAAAAUUAAAAGCUACACUAUAUUUUAUAUUUUUUUUACUUAGAAUUUAAUUUUUUUUACAAAAAGUUAACAUUUGUUACAUUAUAAAUAAAAAUUUUAAACUCUAUAAGUAAAAAAAUUAUCAAAUAUAAAAUGAGUAUGGUAAAAUAUUAAAAAUAAAUAUUUAAAAAAUUACUAAUAGUUGAGUGAUCAUUUUGUAAGUUUUUAUAAGUCUAUAGCUAAAAAAUCAAAGUUAAGUGACUACUAAUGUAAUUUAAUCUAGAUAUAAAAAUAUGAAAAAUAAUUAUUAUAUUUUAUGUAUAUUAUAUAUUUCUAUAAAAAAACUUAUUUAGCAUAAUUAUAUACUAUAUUUAAAUAAAUUAUCUAUCUAGUCAAAAUACAUCUUAAAUAAAAUUAUCAGCAUUCAUUAGGUGAUGAAAAUUAAAUUAAAAUUAGAAUUAAAAAAUUUAAUUAGUAUAAUAAAAUAUUAAAAAUAAGUAAAUAUUUAAAAAAGAUAUAUUAAUUUUUUUAAAUUACAUAAAACUACUAUUUGAGUGCCAAAUACUCACCAUUAUUUAUUAGUCAAACAUUCACAAUAUAAAAUAAAAAAUAAAAUUAAAAAAAUUAAAAGUAUAACUUCUAAAUUUAAAUAAUGGAAAAUUAUUUUAAAAAUUAGAAUUGCAUUGAUAUUAACUUCAAACAUUUAAAGUUGAAUAGAAGAUUAUUAUUGCAUGUACAAGCUCCAUAUGUGCAAUUUGUUCUCUUUUUUUAAUAGUUCUUUUGUAUAUGUUAACAAUUCUAAAAUGCAACAAGAUUAUAUCUCAAAAGUUAAUUUUAUAUUAUGAGAAAAUGUUAACAAAAUAUAAAAAAUAGAAAUUGUUUUGUAAAAAAAUAAUAAAAUAUAGUGUAGCAUUUAGUCUCAUGUUGUUAGUUAAAGGAGAAAGGAAUCCCACAUUGUUUAGUAACAAGCUGCAAACUUACUCAUGAGUCUAUAUAUACACAUAUCUCAUAUCCCACAUUGCUUAAGAAAAUAAGAGAAAUGAGACUUUGAGUCUAUAUAAAGAUUUGCUUUGUAAGUUUUAUUUCCAUAUUAAUUGGUAAAACCUUGAAAAAAAAUAGUGUUGUCACUUUAAGCUUUUUUAAGGUUUAUUCUUAUAAAUUUUUAAAAGAAUUGGUCUAUUUUUAUAAUAUUUAAAAAAUGACCUUUUUUGAAAAUUUAAACUCGGGCUAAAAUGUGUCCUUGGGGGAGCGUUUUUACCAUAUCAGCAAAGUGCGUCCACGAGGGCACGAAAUGUGGACAUGUUUUCGUAAAAAACUGCCUAAUCCGAUAAAUAAGUCAAUAAACGACUCAUUUUCAUAAUUAUAUUUUUUAAAGGGCCUUUUUGGUAAAACGGCCCAACUUCUCAGUCAAACCCAACAAAAUAGGACCCAUAGGAAAAUAAAUUUAUAGUUGUUAAUUGAUAAAAAAAAAUUCGAGAUUCAAUCAAACACUUUCUAUUAUCUCAUUUCUCAUUCUGAAGGUUAUGAGAUUUUUAUUUUUAUUUUAUAAAAUAAAUGAUGAAUUUUGUUUAAAUUUAUUUUUAUUUUUAUUUAUCACGUGCGAAUUCAUAUUUAAAUUUAUUUUAAUUUAAAUUAAAUUUAAUCUAUACUUUAUAAUACUUAUAUAAUAAAUUUAAAAUAAUGAAUUUAAGCAUACUUAAACACAUAAUGUCCUUUAAUAUAAAACUUUAACAAUAUAUAAAUAAUUUAAGCAUUGGAUAAAAAUAAAAAAAUAGUAUAAUAUACUUUAUAACCACUCAACUUUUAGUAUAUUUUGUUUUUCAUUACUAAUCAAAAUAAAUAAUAUUUUCAUCUGUUUUUAAAUAAUUUAAUUUUGAAAUUAAUUCUAUCUAAUUUUAAAAUCAAUAUUUACACUAUCAUAAAUGGAUGCAGUGACUAUUUUUAUAAUCGGUAGGUUUUUAAUAUUAUAAAUUUUCUUAUCUUUUUAUACACAUACAUGCACAAAAGUACAAUAAUAUCACAUACUAGUUUUCGAGUAAGUCAAAUUCUAGUACCAGCUUGUGAUAUAUAUAUAAGUUGAGAAUUUAAUAUAUAUAUAUAUAUAUAUAUUCUAAUUUAACUAAUUUUAGUUCUAAUAUUUUUUAAAAUUUGAAAUUAUAAUCAUAACCUAGUUAAAUUUAUUACAUCAAAUUUUGUUAUUAUUAUCAUAAGUUUUGAAUUUAGUUCUUAUUUUCCAAUUUGAUUAUUUUUAGUCAAUAUAUUUUUAAAAUACUUGUCCUUACUAAAAUAAUAGUUGUUAAAUCACUUAGCUAAGAUAACAUAAAUUUUCUGUAAAUAUUAUAUAAAAACAGUGAGUUAACUUGGAACUACAGACACGAGAUGAUAUAUUUGUUGCAUAAUAUUUUUAAAAUAACAGAAUUCAACUUAAUAAAUUUAACAACUACUUUUUGGGUCAAGAUUGAAAUUUAAAAAUUUUAAAAAUAAAUAAAAUAAAAAUGAUCAAACUAAAGUAGAAUGAUUGAAUCCACAACUUAUGCAUAAUACAAAGACUAAUAGUAAAAUUUGAUAUUUGAAUAUAUUAUAUAUUAAUUAUGCUAUAUUUAUUAUUUUAUUUAGUUUUAUCAUUAUUUUAAAAAAAUUAUAUUAUAUAUUAGUUAUUAAAUACUAUGGCAUGAGUAUACAACUAAUAAAAGUAUAUAUAAGGACAUAUAAAAGUAAGGAAUAAUUACAAUAUCAAAAUAAUUUCAACAUUUAUGAAGGAUGAGGUUGAUAGUUACAUUAAAAUUAAAAUAAGGAUUAUGAUAAAAAUAUUAAAACAUUACUCAACAUUUAUGGGAGUGGAGAUUCAAAUUUAGACUUCUCAAUCAAAGUUAUUCUUUUUGUGCACUCCUUAAUACUAAAAAGUUCAGUAAUUAAAAAUUUACAGGAACAGCUCCUUAAAAAUGAAUUAUGUGAAAAAAAAAAUUAAACAUACAUAUUUUAUAAAAAAUUAAAAUAUAUUCGUACAUUUAAAAUUUAGUCUUUAUAUUUUAAUUUUUAAGAAUUUAAUCUCUCCACUAUUUUAAAUCCAACUAACAUUGUUAAAAUUAUUUUAUUAACUUUAAGUUAUUUACAAUGUCAUUUUUUAAUUACGUGACUACUAAGUAAGUAUAUUUUUUUAUUUCAAAUUGUCAUUCCAGUAAAUUUAAUAAAAAAUAUUUAACACAAUUAGACCAAAAUUUUGAAAUCUAAAAAGAGGACUAAAUUAUUGAAAAUAUAAAUAUAAAGACUAAAUUCUUAAUUUAUGAGAAGUAUAGGAGGUUAUGGUAUAUUUUAACCUUUAAAAAAUAAUAGUUUUAUUUUUCAAUAUGGUCGAAUAGAAAACCAGCAUUUAGCUUUAAUAUAUUCCACCUAAUAUGUUUUUCCUUUUAAAAUUUUAAUUCAUUUUAUUCUUCCUGCUUAAUUUUCCUUCUUCUUCUUCCCUGGUUUUUGUGUUGCUUCUCCUUCUACUUCUUUCUGGGUCCCCAAAAUCCUGUGUCAACAGUUUAACACAGAGCUCAAAGACCCAAAAACAACUUCCGCCAGCACUUUUGCUCUUUUAAAAGAGUAUAUCGACGUCCAUAAAUUAACCUCUUCAUUUCGUCAAAUUUUUGCAGGAGUUGAACCACUAUAUUCAUAUAAUAUCAUUUCUACCUAGGGGAAUAAAGCAUAUCAUAAUUGAUGACAUUAUCUAAUUUCACAACUCUAAACUAUUGCAACCAAAAAAAAAAGGAACAGAAGAUUAUCCGUUCCUUCUCUUCAAAAUUUAAGAAUCGGCAGAAACCCAAUUUGAUAGAGAAAUAAGUGGAUAAAAAUCUCAGUUUUUAUUUUUAAAUUGUUUUUAAUCAGAUCAGAGUUCCUCUCUCUGCUCCAAGACUAAAUCCAAUUCCAAUUCCAUCUAAAGAGUAGAACAAAAUUAUUCAGUUUACAUACCCCCCCCCAAAAAAAAAAAAACCACUAAAUAUAUACAUCUAUAUAAUAUAAAGCAGAUUCAAUCAUUACAAACUAAUUCAACAGAAUAAACCUCAAAUAUCAUAGCUGGAAAAAAAAUUCAACAAAAAGAAACGAAUGCAAAAAUGAUACGCAUGUGAUCAGAGGAAAUGGAAGAGCAGACGUACCUUUCAUCGAAUAACACCGCUCCUAGGAUCAUCACCAUAUCUCUUUUAUUUUUGUUUCCGAGAUCAUAUAAGUUGCUGUUUUGUGUCGUCAAUCAGCGUUUUCUUUCCUUUUUUUUUUUUUUUGAUUUGUUUGUUCAUUGUGCGUUUCAGUUCGGGUGGGAUGGAGUUUUGGAAUUCACAUUUUACAUUUAAGAGAAAUUAUCCAUCUAUUAUGUCCAGAUUCUUGAAGCAGUUCUUUUGAAGAAUAACAUUCAAAUAUUUUAAAAAAGAAACGAAACAGGUGAAGUUAUCCAUCUAUUAUCAUAUUCCUUAAGCAGUUUCCUUUACAUGUUGAUUUUGGCUGCAGUGGUUACAGAGAAUGAUUUCAGCUUCAAAGUUUGUUAACGGUGGAAGUUUAUUUGAAGAAGAAGAGAAGAAAAAAAACGGAGAAGAAGAAGGUGGAGAAUAUUAAAGCCAUUUCGCAUGUCCAGGCAGUGGCGGAACUCUGAAGUUUAUAUCUAUUUUAUAAAAUAAAAUUUCGGCCACACAUAUGUCAUAAAUCCAAAAAUGUUUAUGAAAAUUGAAAUCUUAUUAUAAAAUUAAAAUUUUUAAUUGUCAUGGUCCAAACCAAGGAACAAAAAUUGAAUGUUAUACAUUAAAUCGAAAACAUACAAAUAAGGGGUGAGUGAAAACAUAAUGAUAGUUUGACAAUUUAAAGAUAAAACCAAAGAAAUGGU